AUGAUGUCAGUAUGUUUGUUCCUUCCAGAUGAGGUCACUGCCAACAUGACCCUGGUGGAGGAGAGCCUGACGGCCGAGUUUGUCCAGGGCCUCUCCAUGACCCUUCAGCCUGUGAAGGUGGCCCACACACUGCCUUCCUAGAGUUCAGCUAUUUCACAGACCUGCUGCCUCUGCUCGUUGACCAGCGUCUCUUGAUUGGUUGCAGGACACACACCUGAUAAAGAUCACCACUCAGGCAGCAAAGCACAGCAGCCUCAAUCACAAGGUGGCACACACACAGCACUUAAGAAGAUCCUAAGAGGGGAGCAGCCAAUAAAUAUCAUACUAUUAUUACUCAUAUUUAAUGAAUUUAAAAGAGUAACAGUCUCUCUUAUCCAUUUUCCUGACUCCUUGUCUUCUAUGUGGGGAUCCAAGACCUUUACUAGUCGGGGUGGGGGAGGGUCUGUUUGCAUCUGCCAAACUGUUUGCAUCUGCCAGGUGUGCCUGUCCCAAAACAUCCUAUAGGCUACAGUUAAUCUCUUUCCAUAACAUUUUGGAGAAUUAAGGUGAAUUAAGGAGUAUGAGAGGCUCAAUUAAAGAUGUUACAGAACUGCU